GUUUUUGUGAUGAGUACUAUACCCUAUCAAGAAUAGACGAGAAAGCAGGAGUGAAUGUGGAGCCUCCUUAAUUAGGGAAGUUCAAUAUUCUCUGUGUUGUCCGUUGAGGUGUGUGUACAGUUUUGUAUGUUUGACCCUGUCCUGACUGAGUAUGAUGUAUGAUCCUCCUGAAACAGAAAUCUGCAUUUGGCAAAGUGCCAGGAGUAUUUUCUCAUUUACUCUAUUGGUGAUUAUCGGGCAGUGGAGCAAUGGAAAUUUCUGGAGCUGAAAUAACGAGCUGGUGGCAGAGAAGUGACAGGCAGCCAAUGAAUGCUGAGGAGAGUAAGGUACACUAACAGGAAGAAUAUUGAACUGCUUGAGCAUCUGCAGAGGAGAACAAUGAAGCUGGUGAAGGGACUAGAAAACAAGAAUUAAGAGGAGCAGCUAAGGGAACUGAAGUUGUUUAGUCUGGGGUAGUGGACACUGAGGGGAGACCUCGUCACUCUCUACAACUACCUGAAAGGAGGCUGCAGUGAGAUGUGUCUUGGUUUCUUUUAUCAGGUGACAAGUGAUAGGAUGUAAAGAAAUGGCCUCAAGUUACACCAAGACUGGACAUUAAGAAAAAUUUCUUCAUGGAGAGGGUGGUCCAGCAUUGGAACAGGCUGCCCAGAUGUCCUGUUUUCAGUUGGGAUAGAGUUGAUUUUCCUCCUAGUAGCUGGUAGGGUGCUGUGUUUUGGAUUGGGAUGAGAGGAGUGCUGGUAACAUAGUGAUGUUUUAAUUGUUGCAGAGCAGUGCUUACACCAAGCCAAGGACUUUUCAGCUUCUCGCUCUGUCCUGCUAGCGAGCAGACUAGGGAUGCAGCAGGAGCUGGGAGGGGACAGACCCAGGACAGCUGACCCAAACUGGCCAAAGGGGUAUUCCAUACCAUCUGACGUCAUGCUGAACAAUAUAUAGGGGUGGCUAGCUGCGGGGUGGGGGGGCGGCUGCUCGGGGAUAGGCUGGGCAUCGGUCAAUGGGUGGUGAGCAAUUGCAUUGUUCAUCACUUGUUUUGUACACAUUAUUAUUAGUAGUACUAUUAUCAU